AUACAAUACAACGCCAUUAUGUCCAAACAGAGGGUUACCCACCAAACAACCUUCAUCUUCUACAACAAAAACACCAAACGACCCUUCUGAAUUGGAGAAAAAGAGAGUACAACAGCGAACCCAAUCGAUUUGAUUCCAGUUUCAAACGUACGAAUUCCCCCAACAUAUACUCCAGCUGGAAAUUUCUUGCUUUCGUUGUGUACUAUUUUUGCAGGGAAUUAUGGUUACAAUGGGUACGAUUCAGUACGUUUUGUUGGAAUCUUUUGUUUUGAAUUCAAAAUUUUGAUAAGGUGGGGAAUUUGGGGGGAAAGAAUUGAAAAAUAGAAAGUCCCACCUCGUUGGGGGAAGAUUUUGAGUCAUUCUUUUGGUUCUAUAAAUAGAAACCAUAUCCCUUCCAUUGGGAGGAAAACAAAAAUGGAUUUGAGACCAGAAAAUUGGUUCUUAUACCAUUAAAUGGGUUUUUCAUAACCCUAAGAGUAAGAACACUCAAAAAUCUGGCGAAACCGAAGAACACUCAGAAAUUUGGCGAAGCUGCGAGUUUCGAGGAUGUUCUCACUCAAGUAUAAUUUUUGGAAGUCGUUUCCGUUCGUCGGAAAUCGAUUCGAGUGAAAGGAAGUUCCUCAUCAACCCCCGUCGCUGCUUGACAAAAAGGAUAAAAGUACAAGAUCUGUUUCGUUUGAAUUAUUAAUGGAAGAUGAGUUCAUUUGCACUCCUAAAGAGUUGAAUUGAUAUGGCAUUAAAUCCUGAAGGAGGAAGGGAUUUUAAAAUCUAAAAUGCCAACGAGAUGCUGCUGAACUCGAGAUGAAUUACUGUUGUUCUUGGAUGGGCUGACUGCUGCAGUCCUUUAAGCCAAACGCCGUACUUAAUUUCAGCACUCUGCUGAGUUUGCUAUUUUGUUUUUUAAUAGAAAAACAAUUGCUGAACUUCGAAACUCAUUUUGUUGUUGAUGCCUUGCUGAAAUUACUUUUAUUUCGUUGAUAUUUGCUGCAAUUUGAGGUAAAGGAAAUGGCUGCUGUGCUUAAUUGAUUGAGCCCCUGUUAUGCUCAAAAUACCCUCCUAUAAUAUACUGCUUUGUUGUUUUUUGUUGUGUCUAUCUUUAGAUGUGUAGUUGAAAUUUGAGAACCAUUCUUGGGUUGUAGAAACAAAAUUCUUUUACAUAAUUAAGCAUCUGCUUUAAUACUAGGAUGGAAUAGUGUUGGUGCAUUCGGUUUGGGAACUUCUUGCGUGUUGUGUUCCAAAACUUUUCAGGACUAUUUCCUUUAGUAGUCCCUUGUUUUCUUGUAUUGUAUCUGUUGGCUGAAAGCCAAAACAAACUUAGGGAACGGUUUAGCCUCCUCCAAUAGUCCGCCAUGCCUAGGGUUCCAUAGGCCCUUUUGAUCAUGUGCGACAUUGGAAUAGGAGUGGUGGUAGCCCCCUUUUGUUAUCUGAACCUUUUUGCAACUUGACGUUUAGCCUGAUGAUUCUGAUCAGUCUUUAAAUUUCUUUUUUUGAGUGCUGCUGCUGAAUUAGGAGUAACAUUGGCAUACUUGAGAGCAUCCUUCACUACUAGUUGUUACAUUCUGAAUUGUUGUUGUAUCUUGGGGCUAAAAAUGUCAUCUUUGAGUCAAUUUGCUACUGCUUUUGGAUUGCAGUUGCUGCAUAUGUAGCAGAGUUUCUACUGCAUUUAGAGUCUAAUCUCUGUUGCACUUCUAAAAUUGAGAAGUGAUGCCUUUGCUAUUUGUUGCCUCCAAAAUUGCUCAAUUUGGCAAGUUUGUCAUAAAUGGUUGAUGUUAUAUGUUGUCAUUUAGGCUGGAAAGAUCUGGUGUUUCCCUUGAGCUUUUGGGGUUUACUCUUACAAUGUUGAGUUUUUAUUCCCAAAGAGCAAAUGCUACAUUUCUAAGGGAGUUGUUGCCUUUUAAGGACAAUUGCCUGUUGUUUGGUGCUGCAAUUUGGGGUGAACUGAUGCUGAAUUGUUACAGCUCUUUUAAGCUAAUUGUUGUUGUGUCCUUGAGCCAAAUAACUGCUGCAUCUUUACCCAUGUUGCUGCAUCCACCGAGCAGAAAAUGUUGUAAUAUUCUACCACAUAAUAGCUUAUGAGAAUAUUUCGAGCCCUCUAUGAUUCUGCUAUCUGUUUGGUAUGUUGCUGGGCAUGGACAAAUACUACACUUGGUAAGAUCUAACUGAUGUGAAUAUGGUACUACACUGGGCCGAUGAAAAAGUAUUUAACUUGAGGCCAUAUUUUUAAAAGAACAGAUUUCUAUACUUGAUGAAAAUUUACUGAUUUGAAUAGAUACUUAACUUGAGAAUGCCUAGUCCGGAAAGGUUCUAUCCCUCGGUGGGCAAUGAUGAUCAUAGUCUAGUUAUAAAAUAGGAACCAACAUGCACUUGUCAAGGUAAUAGAAUGACUGACAGGUCGCGUAGCCAUGACAUGUUCAGGGGUCCUUUUUCCCAUAUUUGAAAGAAUCAUGAUUCUGAACCUUUAGUAAUCAAAGCUCCUACAGUUUGAUGCAAAACUGAGGGGUAUUAUAUUUAUAUUCAUAAACGUCACCCCGUGGGGUGGCGUAUCCCUUUGACUAAUCAUUCUCGUUUCUAUCCCUGCGAGGUACAUUCAAUCGAUAUAGGAUGGCAAAAGAGAAGUACUAAAAAGACGAGGCAAGGAUUUGACAUUUGGAGCUUUCAGAUGCAGAAUAAAGGAAGAACGGAAUUGCAACUAAAGGUCCAAGAAGGCUCAGAUAGGUUGCCAAGAGGAUUGCACCGAUAGGAUUUGCCGAAUACUAGCUAGUGUGGUGAGCUCCAUGUCAGUCGACGUUACCAGGUCCAGAUUUUUGUCUAUAUAUAGUAUGGGUAAGCCGGGGCCCUAUCCCAACCAUGUUACAAUUAGACUCCUGUAGAGGCUUAUGAACUUGUAUUGUCAAUUCACUAUGUCAUAGAGGCCUUGUCGACCCUUGCAUAUGUCUGUUAUGGGUUAUUACUGCUUACAGACACGUAUAUUGGCCGAGUCGGCCAGAUAACUAUUCACGUAUGCGUUGGGAUGGUCUCCUCUUGUUGAGUUAGUCUAAAGGAUAGAUGUUACAGCAUGAGGCCUCGUCGGCCCAAAUACGAUAUUGUGUUUACAGAUUGGCCUCCUUGGCCUAUUGUCCUCUGAGACACAGAGGGUACG